rnacentral:rRNA from 1 species
AAGAUGGGCCCGCGUGCUAUUAGCUAGUUGGUAGGGUAAUGGCCUACCAAGGCUACGAUAGCUAGCUGGUUUGAGAGAAUGACCAGCCACACUGGAACUGACACACGGUCCAGACUCCUACGGGAGGCAGCAGUGAGGAAUUUUGCGCAAUGGGGGAAACCCUGACGCAGCAACGCCGCGUGAGUGAAGAAGGCUUUCGGGUCGUAAAGCUCUGUCAAGUGGGAAGAACCGUUUCAAGGCCAACACCCUUGAAGCCUGACGGUACCACUGAAGGAAGCACCGGCUAACUCCGUGCCAGCAGCCGCGGUAAUACGGAGGGUGCAAGCGUUAUUCGGAAUCAUUGGGUGUAAAGCGCGUGUAGGCGGCUUAGUAAGUCAGAUGUGAAAGCUCCGGGCUUAACUCGGAAAGUGCAUUUGAAACUGCUAGGCUUGAGUCCGGGAGAGGAAGGUGGAAUUCCCAGUGUAGAGGUGAAAUUCGUAGAUAUUGGGAGGAACACCGGUGGCGAAGGCGACCUUCUGGACCGAGACUGACGCUGAGACGCGAAAGCGUGGGGAGCAAAUAGGAUUAGAUACCCUGGUAGUCCACGCCGUAAACGAUGAACACUAGGUGUAGGGGGUAUUGACCCCCCCUGCGCCGUAGCUAACGCAUUAA